GUAUUCGUUGAGAGGAGAAACGGUUGGCAUCUCCGCUGACAGGGAUGAGAACAGUCUUCGGGCGUACAUCCGGUUAAGGCUACCCACUUCGGUGGAUCGUCACCCAAAAUUUUUU